rnacentral:rRNA from 1 species
GACGAACCGUGCGAACGUUAUUCGGAAUCACUGGGCUUAAAGGGCGCGUAGGCGGGCCGCCAAGUCAGGGGUGAAAUCUUUCGGCUCAACCGGAAAAGUGCCUUUGAUACUGGCGGUCUCGAGGGAGGUAGGGGCGUGCGGAACUUCCGGUGGAGCGGUGAAAUGCGUAGAUAUCGGAAGGAACGCCGAUGGCGAAAGCAGCGCGCUGGACCUCUUCUGACGCUGAGGCGCGAAAGCCAGGGGAGCAAACGGG